CAAAUUAACUCCAGGCAAUUGGAAUCGUUUCUUCUCCUCACGACCCUCGAUGUCUUUGUUAUCAUCGUUUGGACUUUGGAGGCCAUGAAAUAGCGAGAACAAAGAGAAGGAGAACAAAGAGAAGGACAGAGCAUAGACCUCUGGUAAUUGUUCGUGGAGCCCUAAUUUCUUCUCCAUCUUCCACCGACUCAGGGUUUGAGAUUUGAGAUUUAGGUCAAUGGCUCCUUCAUCUUCUAUAAAACUCUACAAGAACAUAAGCCUGGAUCGUAAGAAGCAUUCUCAGGAUCACCACUUUUCCCAUUCAAGAAUAGAAGGGGGGUCAAGAACAUCAUCGGACAGUUCGUAAUUCUAAUUCUGGUACCAUUCUCAUCUUUCUUCGGUGGUCAGCUUUGUUGUCGCUGGUCAUCAUCGACCAUUAAGGUAUGAUCGAUGUCAUUAAUUUAAUCAAUACUUGGUUUACUAACAUGUUCGAUCGAUUAGUAUACUUUGAUGAUUGGAUAUUCGUUCCUUUUUCAUUGCCCUCAUAUUAGUUUUUUUGAUUCUUUUUAUGGGAGGUGAGAUUGAUUUUUUAACUCCAUACGGUUUUAUACAUAUUAUUUUUUGUAUUUCUAUCGGAAUCACUUUCUAGAGUGAGUUUUUGUUAGAUAUAUGAGCAUUCUUAGUGACUCUCUUUUGGAUAUAAAUGUAGCCAUGGUGAAGAAGUUGCUAUUGAGCUGGUAUGACCGUCUUUUCUUUUUGAUGAUUUUGAAGCUUUUUAUUCUUUGAAUAUUUAAUAUUUUCAUGAUAAGUGGAGCAACUAAAGUGUAAAGUGCCAAACAGCCAAAGCUCCGCGCGUAAGGAUACAUGUUCUAGGUGCACUAUGUAUAAGUGAUAUAUUCAGCCAUUGUUUGCUAUCUAGCGAUCUGUUGUUUGUGAGGUUGAUGAAGAUGAUUAUCUUUGGACACACAACAAGAGCAACAUUUUGGCAUGGUUACAUAAGUCUCUUACCAGAAAAUCAGAAAUAGCUCAAUGUAUUGCUACUGGUCGGUCGACGAACAUGGCUUGGAGGUAUCUUUAACCGUACAGGCCCCAAGAGUUCGGGAAGUAACAAAUACGUUGAUUUUAACUUCACUUCUGUUCAGGUAGCAGGAUAUCAGAGGCUGCGAGAACGUACCAAGUACCUUAUGACGAUACUCGUGUAGAGCAUCAGCGUCUGGAUUUGAAGAAGACACGGCUUCAGAGAUACUUGAUGCAUCAAACGAGAUCGCACAUUUCCUCGCACGGGCAGUUAUUGACGAUCCCCUCGCUCUAUUGAAUCUGGCUGAUAUAAGGAACCAGUUAGCACCAAAUUGCAACGGGAGUGAGACAGCUCAUGUGGCUCAGUCACUUAUAGGAGUGAGAGACUAUUGAGGUCUUGGGGUGGUGGGACGGGUAGGUAAUGGCAUACGUCAAGAAAAAAAAUCAUAAAAUUACUUGAAGAAUACGAGAGCGGGGGUGUUGUUGGUGAGGCAUGUGAGUGCAUCCGCGAUCCGGGAAUGCUGUUUUUUAACCAUGAGGUAGGAACAAGGCGUUGGUGAUGGCUAUGGAGAAGAAUGACAGGAUACUGGAUUUGUUGCAAGAGUGUUAUGGCAAGGGACUGAUUACUACUAAUCAAAUGACAAAAGGGUUUGGUAGGGCUAAAUACGGUCUCAAUGACCUGGCACUUAAUAUUCCUGAUGCUGAUGACAAGUUUAAGGUUCACUAUGAGCAUGUUGUGGUUAGAGGGUGGUUGGUUCCUGUGUAACUAUGACGCAUCAUAAGGUACUAGGUAGCUGGCUCGCUAGACUUGCUUCUUUUGAAGAAGGGUUGUGCAGAAGACAAUAUUAAACCUUUCUUCAGGUGGACCACCAAUACAAUAAAAAGCAUUUGUAUUCUCAAAGUUUUCAUCUGCAGUGCAAUCGUACUCCCAAUUAAAGAGUUACUUAUAAACCUUUGUAAAGUGAACUCAUUCAUACCCAAAUUAGCGAUAUUUACAUGUGUUAAAAGGAUUGUUGAUUCAAGCUCAUACGAGAAAGAUGUUUUGGAGUCGUAAGCAACUGAUGUGAGUGCAUGUGAAAAGCUGUCCUAAGAAGCUGGCUCGAUCUUGAAAUGGCUUAAGUAGGUCGGAACGUAUGUCGAAAACAAGAAGCAAGUUUUAGUGACACUAUAAUUUUCUGUGAUAUUAGUCCGGAUACCCGCCGCAAUGCGCGAACAUUUUAACUAUUAUAUAUACACCCACGCAUAUAUGAUUUUUUAAUGUUUUAGGUUUAAAUUAUGUUCU